GUAAACGGUCAUACUACGUUGAAAGCAAAGCAUCCCGUCAGACCUGCGAAGCGCAGGAACUUUAGGCUGAGCUAGUACUGUGGUUGGUAACAACGCGGGAACACUCAGUGUCGUAGGAC
rnacentral:rRNA from 1 species